AGCUUCACACUGUUGCUACAUCUGUCCUGCAGAUGAGACAAAUUCUACAAAAGAGAAGACAACCUGAGUAGCUGCUUUCAUGACUGCACUGGAAGGCAGGAACAUUAGAGAUGAAGCAAUUCUCUGAUCAAGUCAACACAGGUGAACAUCUCAGAGGCCUGGUACAGUGAAUUACUGGACUUUUGGGAAAAAGAGAACUAGCACUGUAUUUUGAGAAGCAGCUGACUGUUACAGCCUCUUGCCAGACAGUCAUCAAAGCCUCACAAGGAAGGAUGAAGGAGCUUGGUUUCAUCACAUUAAGAUGUGUGGCACUGACACAUCAAUCAGGUACUAGCAUGAAAUUGUUCAGCAUAUUACAGAGACACUGGUGAAGCAUGAGACAAGGUAAAUUAGGAGGGCUGCUGAGUUCCAAACAUCUGCUAGCUGUGUCUAGCUUCUUGAUGGCUUCAUUGAGAAGCAUUACACAGUGCAAAAUGUCAUUGGGCCAUUGACAUCAGAGUUUACAAAGAACAAAGGAGGUGGCAUCUCCAAGGGAGUCAAGACAGAAGAACAGAAGUACCCAGGAACAACCCAGCUGAGUAUCAGUAAUAACAAAACAUUUUAGACACCAUAUGGCACUGUGUAAUCCUGAUGGACUGCAACAAAGCCCUUUUGUGAAGUUCAGUGGGUGUCAGACUGGGCCUGUAUAUCAUAAGCAGUAACACCCAAAACCAACUGUUAUUAACGCUCUAUUUAGCAGCACAAAUUUUCAUCUUCCUUUCUUCAGAAAUAGAAGAUACCUAACUCACAGGUAUAUUUUCAAG